ensembl:lncRNA
GUCAAAUAGCUAGGAAGUAUCUGAGGACAGAUGGGAACCCAGGUCCCCUAGUCUCCAGACUUGGCUCUCUAUCCUUUGUUCCUCUAAAUCAUGAUUAAAGAAAUUCAAAUUAGAAGAAUUCUGAAGUGCCACCUCACACCUAUAAGACUGGCAAUUAUGACAAAAAAAGAAAAAUGAUAAAUGUUUGAGGCAAUGUGGGAAAAUUGGGACAUUAAUACACUAUUCAUGAAGCUGUGAACUGAUCCGCCCAUUCUAGAGAGCAACCUGGAACCAUACUCAAAGGACUAUGAAAUUGUGUAUACCCUUUCAUCCAUCAAUACUACUACUAGGUCUUUAUCCCAAAGAGAUUAAAGGAUAGGGGAAAGGGAACUACUUGAACAAAAACAUUUAUAAUAGCUCUUUUUGUGGUGGCAAAGAACUGGAAACUGAAGGGAUGUUCAUCAGCUGGAGAAUGGCUGAACAAAUUAUAAGAUUGUAAUGGAAUACUCUUGUGCCAUAAGAAAUGAUAAACAAAAUGAUCACAUAAAUACCUAAAAAGACAUAUGAAGUGAUACAAAGUGAAGUGGGCAGGACCAGGAGAAUGUUGGACAUAGUAACAACAAUGAAGUACACUGAUCAGCUGUGAAUGACUAUUAUCAACAAGAAGUGAAUCCAGGACAACUCCAAGGAACUAAUGAUGAAAAAGACUAUCAACCACCAUAGAAGGAACUGAUGGAGUCUGAAUACAGAUGGAAGAAGGCCAUUCUUCACCUUAUUUCCUCCAUGAAGGACAUAUAUCAAUCGCUUUCAUAUAAUUUUUUUAAAGAGUACAGGUAAGAGAUGAUCAGAGUCUAAACUGGAUAUUGUUUAUAAAUAGUAAAGAGAAGUGAUAGGAUAAAGGAGAUAUCAAUAUAAUGGAGUUGACAAGGUGUGGUAAUUAAUUGAUAUAUGUUGGAAUAUAAUGGGAAGAGAAGGGUCAUAGAUAACUCACAAGCUACUUUGUUUCCCUUUCAGUUAGGUGGCACCACAGUGCAUAGAGCAUCAGGACAGGAGUUGGGAAGAGAGAGAAAUGAGCCAUGAUGUGAUUAUACAAUUAUUUCUUUGUGUCUUGCUUGUUUGCCAUCACACAUUUCUGGAUUUCAAGACAACUUUUGUAUUGAAAUGAGUUACCAGAUCAAGAAGAAAAAUAUGUUAAGUCUCUAGGACAUCCUUCAGAUACAUACCCUUCUGUCAUCUGACACCACCUCUGAAGAGUUCAGUCUGCACUCCUGCAACAGCUGGCCAAUGGAUCUUCCUGCCUCAAGUUUCUCCACACUCCAAUCCAUCCUCCUUUCAACCACUAAGGCCUAGAGCUGAUGACUCCAUACCUGUGAGUAUCAGCCUUACAGGACUUCAAAUCAGACUGCUCUGCAUUUUGAGACUCAAAAAGAAGGUGAAAUGAGGACUUAUCUACUGGCUGAAAUUUAAAUUUUCCAGGUGGCAGAAGUCCUGGAGAGUUGGAAUCAAAAAAUGGAAAUUUACACUUAAAGAAUCCAGUCUGUGUUUUAUGGAUAUACAUGUGUUCUCUUUGAAAACUGCUCUCUGAAACACCGAG